rnacentral:rRNA from 1 species
UAGGGAAUAUUGGACAAUGGGCGAAAGCCUGAUCCAGCAAUGCCGCGUGAGCGAUGAAGGCCUUAGGGUUGUAAAGCUCUUUUACCCGGGAUGAUAAUGACAGUACCGGGAGAAUAAGCCCCGGCUAACUCCGUGCCAGCAGCCGCGGUAAUACGGAGGGGGCUAGCGUUGUUCGGAAUUACUGGGCGUAAAGCGCACGUAGGCGGCGAUUUAAGUCAGAGGUGAAAGCCUGGAGCUCAACUCCAGAACAGCCUUUGAGACUGGAUUGCUAGAAUCACGGAGAGGUGGGUGGAAUUCCGAGUGUAGAGGUGAAAUUCGUAGAUAUUCGGAAGAACACCAGUGGCGAAGGCGGCCCACUGGACGUGUAUUGACGCUGAGGUGCGAAAGCGUGGGGAGCAAACA